GGUGGGCACUCUAAGGAGACUGACCGGUGACAAACCGGAGGAAGGUGGGGAUGACGUCAAGUCAUCAUGGCCCUUACGGCCUGGGCUACACACGUGCUACAAUGGUCGGUACAAAGGGUUGCCAGGCCGCGAGGCGGAGCGAAUCGCUUAAAGACCGGUCCCAGUACGGAUUGGAGUCUGCAACCCGACUCCAUGAAGUUGGAAUCGCUAGUAAUCGCGCAUCAGCAUGGCGCGGUGAAUACGUUCUCGGGGUUU
rnacentral:rRNA from 1 species